GACGAACGCUGGCGGCGUGCCUAACACAUGCAAGUCGAGCGGAGAUUAUAGUAAUGUAAUCUUAGCGGCGGACGGGUGAGUAACGCGUGGGCAACCUGCCUCGAACUGGGGGAUAACACAGGGAAACUUGUGCUAAUACCGCAUAACAUCAUGAAAGGACAUCCUUUUAUGAUCAAAGGAGUAAUCCGGUGAGAGAUGGGGCCCGCGUCCAAUUAGCUAGUUGGAGGUGUAACGGACCACCAAGGCGACGAUUGGUAGCCGAACUGAGAGGUUGAUCGGCCACAUUGGGACUGAGAUACGGCCCAGACUCCUACGGGUGGCAG
rnacentral:rRNA from 1 species